GAAGGGGACAGCGCACUACUCAAGGCAAAGUGGUUGUCUCUGGAUGACCACAUGCACAAUGUCCAUACAGGCCAUGGAAAAUUAUUCCCGAAAUGUGCUCACAAAAGAAUAAGGAAAAAUGCAAUGAGAAACAAGAAGUGGUUUGAAGCAGGAACCAAAGUGUCCACCAAAGUGACCAAGGUGAUAACGGCAACCCGAUUCGUGAAUGAUAUUGGAAAGCUCUCAUGUGGGAAGCAGACGUCCGGACUUGAGGCUUUCCAUAGUGUCAUAAACCACUUCGCCCCAAAGCAGCUGCAUUUUCAUCAUGAAGGAAUGAAAAGCAGCAGGACUACACUACAAUGAGAAUGGAAACAAAGACCAGGCAGUAACAAGCACAGGUGAUGAAAGAUGGUCAAUCAUAUUUCCAAAAGUCAAGAAGGGGGCUUACUCUGUUCGUCCCAUCAAGAAAGCUAGCACACACGAUUAUAUCCAGAGAUUACUUCCUGAAGUCCAACGAAGAUGCAUCAACAAUAUCCAACCUGAGAAGAAGAACAAGUACGAAGCACUGUGC